UUAUUAUCACAUAGGCUAUGAUGAGUUGAAACUUAAAUUUUGUCUCUUGGUUCAUAGUAUUGAAUAAUUAUUGAUAACACUUCAUGUUGUGUGUAGAAAGGUAAUAUUAUUAGUUUUUAUUCAUGAGAGGAAUCGAAAAUACAGGCUAGGUUUUUUAGUAAUCUUGUGUACAGUGUAGCAAAUAUAACAAUGUUGCAUCCUUGCAUGAUGGAUACUCCUCUGUAUUAUUCAAUUAUCUUUUCAAUAACAGUCUCAAGUUAUCCAUGCUACUGUAUCUAUUUCUUGGAAAUUUCAUUUUUAAACCAUUGUUUUAAAAAUAAUAAUCUACUUUUUGUUAUCCACUCUACUGUAUCAGUUUCUUCAAUAAUUGCUUUUCCCAUUCGAGAACCCACAUUAUAAAAAUUAUUAGCUACUUUUUGUUGUAAUAGCAUGGUAGUUACGCAAUUGAUGUAGAACAAUGAUGGCCAAUUAUUGGUGGGAAAAUGUUGCCGAGUUCUUUAUAUUUGUUGGGGAUUAGUGAAUUUGAUGUACUGUGGCAGAGAUGGGGCCACGUUUGGGUUUGGGCAAGCUGGAUUCAAUGCUGUGUUGCCUUUUCAAAUCCAGUUUGGGACUUAUCCACGCCAGCGGAAAAGUAAAGCGAUGUUGCCGGCUUUUGUGUUGGCUGCCGAACUGGAUGGCAGUGCAGUGCUGUCUCAGUCACUCAUUCUGUCUCUCUCUCUCACUCUGAAUUGAUAAGAGCAGUGUAUAGUAGAUAGUAUUAUUAUCGUAGGUGUGCCACUCUGUCUGCCUCUCACUCUGGUUUCAAGGUCAUCUGUAGACCUCGUGUAACUUUUCAUCCACUCAGCUUACUGUACCUUUUUCCCAUAUCUUUGCUGAGGCUCCUUCUAACUUAAUCUCUCAUUUCUCCAAACUCAACCAGGAUGGUUCAGUGAGUUCUUGAAUUUAGAACACAACAAAGCUGUAAGCUGAUUUUUGGAAACAGCAGCGGCAGGCUAUUGAUUGAAGGAACAGCAGCCAGCGAUACCCACUGUGAAAAAACUCAGCGCCAAAUAGCAAUGAAUCAAGCGCGGAAUUAUUUGUUGCUAUUGCAAAAGCUGCUCACAGAUAACGAGGUCAGCGACUUUCCGCGCCAGUUUAUCGACGUUUAGAGUGAGAGGGUGAGUGAAUAGAUGUGUAUGUGUGGAGGAGAAGUGAGAGCACUAUGUUUAUCUUUCAACGUAAAAUUGGAAUGAGGUUAAGUAAAUAAUAAUUCACGCUCUUUUCAUCAUUUGGCGCUAAAACAGUUUCUGUUUAAUGCUAAAAUCCCUGUGUGAUUUGCUAAUUUUCAUUUAGUAAAUGAUUUCUUUUUGUACUCUUACUUGAUGAAUAAUUGUAACUAUUUGUGUUAUGGAAGCAAUUUUUGGGAGAAAUCCUGUUUGCUCCCAUGUUUUCAUAAAUGGAUAAAAAAUUGUGUAUUUUUUUAACAUACAAGUAUCUCCAAUAACAGUGAUAGGGUAUAGUAGUUGAAAGGCAUUCUUCGUGAUAUCAUAGUUUUAUUAUAGAGAUCAACAGAAUACUAUAAUUAAUGUAAUAUGAAGGGCCGUAUUUAGCAAUUAGGUACCCCCAAGGCCCAAUAUUUUUUCUGCCCCGACUCUGAUUAGAGUUAUCUCCUAAAUCCUAAAACAUAGUUUCAAAAUCGAUAGCUGGUAUAUUAUAUUGCUAACGGUGUUAGCAACUAUGGGUUUUAAUGUUCCUAGCUUUAUUAGCAACAAUGGUUGCUACUACUGUAAUGCAAUAAACUAUCCAUUACAAACAAAAAUAAUGUAUAAUUAAUAAAUUAAUAUUGAAUUUGAUAUUUUGACGUUACAAAAUAUUGAUUUUAAUAAAAAAUCCAUUAACAACAAUAGUUGUGGUUGAUGGUUAAUGGGUGUUAAAACCUGAAAUAAAUUCAAUUAUGGUUUUAUGAAUUUAAUUUGAAAUAUCACAAUUCAAAUUCAUAAUGAUCGUAGUAAUUGUUUUUUGGUUGUUUACUUGGAGAGUUUUAGAGGAAUGUAAUCUAGCGGAGAAAGGCAGAACUAACGAGAUACCAGAAAAUAUGGGAGUGGAUAUACUAAUAUAAGCCACGCCCAAACUCAACGAGCAGUUUGAUUGGUCGAUGACGUUCUCAACCUGCUCGCUUUCUAUUGUUAGUGAGCUGUGGAGGUAAAAUGGCGUCUCAUCAACACAUUAAUUACUUCAUUUUCAUAUUAUUUCCCUGAAAACUGAGAAGUUAAUUAAUAGAGUUAUUUAAGUUCUUCAUUUAUUUCAAAAACAACUAAACUACAGUUGAACUGAGCACGAACUAGGAAUCUCUAUCAUAUUUGCAAAUAUUUGAUGAUAUAUGCUAAUUCCGUUUAAUUUUUUUAAUGAACCUGUAAUUUCAGCCCCUAUAUUCAUUUGAAUUUACUGUUAUGUUAAUCUUGAAGAAUUCAUCUGCCAAUGUAAAUGACCUACUUACAUUCAUUAUAACUUACCCAUUCAUUCUCACGAAAGAAUUGAUUUCGAUCGAAUGAAUUACAUGAAGUUUCUCAUUAUGUCUAUAUGAUAAAAUUAUCGCUUUUCAAUUUUUAUGUAGGCCUAUUUUUUAUUGAUACAGGACUAUUUCAAACUAAUUUGCGUCAUUCAAAAACUUAAAAA